rnacentral:rRNA from 1 species
UACGUAGGGCGCAAGCGUUGUCCGGAAUUAUUGGGCGUAAAGAGCUCGUAGGCUGUCUGUCGCGUCCGUUGUGAAAACUCGAGGCUCAACCUCGGGCUUGCAGUGGAUACGGGCAGACUAGAGUGCGGUAGGGGAGACUGGAAUUCCUGGUGUAGCGGUGGAAUGCGCAGAUAUCAGGAGGAACACCGAUGGCGAAGGCAGGUCUCUGGGCCGCAACUGACGCUGAGGAGCGAAAGCAUGGGGAGCGAACAGG